rnacentral:lncRNA from 1 species
UGAGCCUACAUAUUUAAGUCCAUACUCUCUUGUCCCAUCCAUUUUCUUUGGAUUCCUUGAUGAACGGCAACACUCUUUUUGAAAACUGAGAGAAAAAAUAUGAUUAAAAAAAAAAAACGAGUGAUUAUUAGGAUUAAAUAAGCAAUACAAUAAUAAAAGUUUAAGGCCUUAUCCAUGUAAACCAGGAGUAGAAAGAGAAGGAGUCUAAAUAAAGAUAUUGUAACUGAUGAUAUUUACAACUAACAACAAAAAAAGGUAAACCACUCUUAUCCGUUAAAGAAAAGCUAUUUUUUCCUAUAAGAAAAUAAGUGAAGAAUUAGAAGAAACAUCAAAAUUUUGAUGCCAAGGAGAUAGACCGUUCAAAUGAUAAGAAAUAUGACAUAGAAAAUACCUAGUAAUUUAACCUAUCAACAAAAUUUCACAGAUUUACACAUAAUGCACAAGGAGAAGAAGCAUUCCGUUCUGUACUGAUAAAUUAUACAGGGCAAAUAUCUUCCCAAAAUAUCCGAAUUUCAAAGAAAUUUACCAACGGGGAAAAUAUUAGCGCGGUGAAAAAAUUAACAGCAACAGAUCAAGAUCCAUAAAUAAAAACAGUAAAACAAAGUCAAUAUCUAAAAAGAAAAAGUAUAAUAGAGUAAACAGGCGGUCUUCUAGAAAAUUAAAAAUGAACCAUAGAAGAAAAAGAAGUCCAGAUCUAAAAGCUUGAAAAAAUAAGAUCAAAUAGCGAAAACGAAAGAGAAUGACUCUAAAGGUGGAAAAAUAGAGCUUGAAAUGGAAGAGCAAACCUCGGAGAGCAGAAAAUAGCGGAGGAGGCUGUUUGUCCGGCGGCAACGAAAUCACCGGAGAUGUCGCCGGAAAACGGCCGGCGAAGAUAGGAGGAGUCAAUAGUAGAGAAGAUAAAAUAGAGAAAACGAGAAAAGCGGAAGAAAAAA